rnacentral:rRNA from 1 species
GACAGAGGGUGCUAGCGUUGUUCGGAAUUACUGGGCGUAAAGGGCGCGUAGGCGGCUCGUUUAGUCGGGUGUGAAAUCCCGGGGCUCAACCCCCGGAACUGCAUUCGAUACUGGCGGGCUAGAGACCGGAAGAGGUGGGUGGAAUACCCAGUGUAGAGGUGAAAUUCGUAGAUAUUCGGAAGAACACCAGUGGCGAAGGCGACUUACUGGACACAUAUUGACGCUGAGGUGCGAAAGCGUGGGGAGCAAACAGG